rnacentral:rRNA from 1 species
UACGGGGGGGGGCAAGCGUUGUUCGGAAUUACUGGGCGUAAAGGGCUCGUAGGUGGCCAACUAAGUCAGACGUGAAAUCCCUCGGCUUAACCGAGGAACUGCGUCUGAUACUGGAUGGCUUGAGUUUGGGAGAGGGAUGCGGAAUUCCAGGUGUAGCGGUGAAAUGCGUAGAUAUCUGGAGGAACACCGGUGGCGAAGGCGGCAUCCUGGACCAAUACUGACGCUGAACAGCGAAAGCCAGGGGAGCAAACGGG